rnacentral:tRNA from 1 species
CGUGGCUCAACGGAUAGAGCGUUGGAUUCCGGAUCCAAAGGCUGUGGGUUCGAAUCCCACCGG